rnacentral:misc_RNA from 1 species
UCUCCGUUGGUGAACCAGCGGAGGGAUCAUUACCGAGUUAUUCAACUCAUCAACCCUGUGAACAUACCUAAACGUUGCUUCGGCGGGAACAGACGGCCCCGUGAAACGGGCCGCCCCCGCCAGAGGACCCCUAACUCUGUUUCUAUAUGUAACUUCUGAGUAAAACCAUAAAUAAAUCAAAACUUUCAACAACGGAUCUCUUGGUUCUG